rnacentral:rRNA from 1 species
AACGAACGCUGGCGGCAUGCCUAACACAUGCAAGUCGAACGAGACCUUCGGGUCUAGUGGCGCACGGGUGCGUAACGCGUGGGAAUCUGCCCUCUGGUACGGAAUAACUCAGGGGAACUUGAGCUAAUACCGUAUAAUGACUUCGGUCCAAAGAUUUAUCGCCUGAGGAUGAGCCCGCGUCGGAUUAGCUAGUUGGUGAGGUAAAGGCUCACCAAGGCGACGAUCCGUAGCUGGUCUGAGAGGAUGAUCAGCCACACUGGGACUGAGACACGGCCCAGACUCCUACGGGAGGCAGCAGUGGGGAAUAUUGGACAAUGGGCGAAAGCUUGAUCCAGCAAUGCCGCGUGAGUGAUGAAGGCCUUAGGGUUGUAAAGCUCUUUUACCCGGGAUGAUAAUGACAGUACCGGGAGAAUAAGCCCCGGCUAACUCCGUGCCAGCCGCCGCAGUAA